rnacentral:rRNA from 1 species
UACAGAGGUCUCAAGCGUUGUUCGGAAUCAUUGGGCGUAAAGCGCGUGUAGGCGGCUAGGCAAGUCGGUUGUGAAAGCCCGGGGCCCAACCCCGGAACUGCAUCUGAAACUGCCUGGCUAGAGUCCCGGAGAGGAAGGCAGAAUUCCCGGUGUAGGGGUGAAAUCCGUAGAUAUCGGGAGGAAUACCAGCGGCGAAGGCGGCCUUCUGGACGGUGACUGACGCUGAGACGCGAAAGCGUGGGGAGCAAACAGG